AACGAACGCUGGCGGCAUGCCUAACACAUGCAAGUCGAACGAGACCUUCGUGUCUAGUUGCGCACGGGUGCGUAACGCGGGGGAACCUGCCCUUAGGUUCCGAAUACCUCCCCUAAGGGGGUGCUAAUACCGGAUAAUGUCUUCGGACCAAAGAUUUAUCGCGUUUGGGUGGGCCCGGGAUGGUUUAGCUAGUUGGUAGUGUAAAAGCCUACCAAGGCGAGGAUCCAUAGCUGGUCUGAGACGAUGACACGCCACGCUGGGACUGAGACACGGACCAGACUCCGACGGGAAGGGGGAGUGGGUAAUACAGGACAAUGGGGGAAAGCCUGAUAGCGCAAUGCCGCGGGAGUGAUGAAGGCGGUAGGGAUGUAAAGCUCUUUUACACGGGACGAUAAUGACAGUACCGGGAGAAUAAGCACCGGCUAACUCCGUG
rnacentral:rRNA from 1 species